rnacentral:lncRNA from 1 species
AUACUCGGUUCAUUUUGGCAAUUACUAUCUUGUUUGUUGUUUUUCAGUCAUGCAAGAUUCUUUGUGACGCCAUUUGGGAUUCUCAUGGCAAAGAUACUGGAGUGGUUGGCCAUUUCCUUCUCUAGCUCAUUUUACAGAAGAGGAAACUGAGGCAAAUGGGAGGAAUUCUAAAGAACAAGAAGAAUUCAGUACAGCUUCCCAAAGGACUGCUCAAAGAUCUCCAGGAAGAGCUAUGUGAAGAACUCUCGAGAGACAUAAAACAUGGACAAGACAGUCCCUGCCUUUAUGAAGCUCACACUCUAACAGAGUGCUAAGAUCCCAACCCAAAUUACUAUCAGCUGUAAUAUGGCAUGAGAGGAUUCCAUGUUCAUCUAAACCUUCCUUGGUUUUCUUCACGAGGAACAAAGAACAUGAUAUUGUCUAAUUGACCAACAAGCUCACAAUUAAUUUGGUGUCUGGAUUGAGAUAAAAAAAAUUCAAAGCAGUCAAAGGAAACAAACACAUCCCAAUAAAAGUAUAUAGGCACAAAAUGCCUGCA